rnacentral:rRNA from 1 species
GACGAACGCUGGCGGCGUGCCUAACACAUGCAAGUCGAGCGAAGUGAGUACUACGGUACGAACUUAGCGGCGGACGGGUGAGUAACGCGUGGACAAUCUACCCUGUAGACUGGGAUAACACCUCGAAAGGGGUGCUAAUACCGGAUAAUGUCGAGAAGCGGCAUCGCUUUUCGAAGAAAGGAGAGAAUCCGCUAUAGGAGGAGUCCGCGUCCCAUUAGCUAGUUGGUGGAGGGUAACGGCCCACCAAGGCGACGAUGGGUAGCCGGCCUGAGUGGGUGGACGGCCACACUGGAACUGAGACACGGUCCAGACUCCUACGGGAGGCAGCAGGGGGGAAUGUUGUGCAAUGGGGGAAACCCUGACACAGCAACGCCGCGUGGGCGAAGAAGGCCUUCGGGUUGUAAAGCUCAAUAGUAUGGGAAGAUAAUGACGGUACCAUACGAAAGCCCCGGCUAACUACGUGCCAGCAGCCGCCGCCGUAA